rnacentral:rRNA from 1 species
AAUUAGGGUUCGAUUCCGGAGAGGGAGCCUGAGAAACGGCUACCACAUCCAAGGAAGGCAGCAGGCGCGCAAAUUACCCAAUCCCGACACGGGGAGGUAGUGACAAUAAAUAACAAUAUGGGGCUCUUACGAGUCUCGUAAUUGGAAUGAGUACAAUUUAAAUCUCUUAACGAGGAACAAUUGGAGGGCAAGUCUGGUGCCAGCAGCCGCGGUAAUUCCAGCUCCAAUAGCGUAUAUUAAAGUUGUUGCAGUUAAAAAGCUCGUAGUUGAAUUUCGGAAUCUGUCCGUCGGUCGGGCUUCACUGUCCGUACUGGUGUGAUGGGUUUCUACCUUCUGAAUAACCGGCAUGUCAUUAAUUUGGUGCGCCGGGGAAGCAGAACUAUUACCUUGAAAAAAUUAGAGUGCUUAAAGCAGGCUAUCGCCUGAAUAGAUUAGCAUGGAAUAAUAAAAUAGGACGGCAUGGUUCUAUUUUGUUGGUUUCUAGGAUCACCGUAAUGAUUAAUAGGGAUAGUUGGGGGCAUUAGUAUUCAAUUGUCAGAGGUGAAAUUCUUGGAUUUAUUGAAGACUAACUUCUGCGAAAGCAUUUGCCAAGGAUGUUUUCAUUAAUCAAGAACGAAAGUUAGGGGAUCGAAGACGAUCAGAUACCGUCGUAGUCUUAACCAUAAACUAUGCCGACUAGGGAUCGGACGAUGUUAA